rnacentral:rRNA from 1 species
GAUGAACGCUGGCGGCGUGCCUAAUACAUGCAAGUCGAGCGAAUGGAUUAAGAGCUUGCUCUUAUGAAGUUAGCGGCGGACGGGUGAGUAACACGUGGGUAACCUGCCCAUAAGACUGGGAUAACUCCGGGAAACCGGGGCUAAUACCGGAUAACAUUUUGAACCGCAUGGUUCGAAAUUGAAAGGCGGCUUCGGCUGUCACUUAUGGAUGGACCCGCGUCGCAUUAGCUAGUUGGGGAGGUAACGGCUCACCAAGGCAACGAUGCGUAGCCGACCUGAGAGGGUGAAGGGCCACACUGGGACUGGGACACGGCCCAGACUCCCACGGGAGGCAGCAGUAGGGAAUCUUCCGCAAUGGACGAAAGUCUGACGGAGCAACGCCGCGUGAGUGAUGAAGGCUUUCGGGUCGUAAAACUCUGUUGUUAGGGAAGAACAAGUGCUAGUUGAAUAAGCUGGCACCUUGACGGUACCUAACCAGAAAGCCACGGCUAACUACGUGCCAGCCGCCGCAGUAA